rnacentral:rRNA from 1 species
CGUUCGUAGUUGAAUUUGUGCUCCAUACGGGUAGUACACCUAUCAUUAUGGUUAGUACAUUACUCAUUGUAUGCGAGCGUAUUACCGGUGGAGUUCUAAUAURUGAUUAAUACUUGUAUURUCAUAUAUAACUCCUAUUUAAACCUGCUUCAGUGCUCUUUACCGAGUGUUGUUGUGGGCCGGUACAAUUACUUUGAACAAAUUAGAGUGCUUAAAGCAGGCUCCAAAUGCCUGAAUAUUUUGUGCAUGGAAUAAUGGAAUAAGACCUCUGUUCUACUUUCAUUGGUUUUUAGAUCAAGAGGUAAUGAUUAAUAGAAGCAGUUUGGGGGCMUUAGUAWURSGACGCGAGAGGU